UCCAGACUCCUACGGGAGGCAGCAGUGAGGAAUAUUGGUCAAUGGGCGAGAGCCUGAACCAGCCAAGUCGCGUGAGGGAGUACUGCCCUAUGGGUUGUAAACCUCUUUUGUCGGGGAGCAAAAGCCGGACGUGUCCGGCUGUGAGAGUACCCGAAGAAAAGGCAUCGGCUAACUCCGUGCCAGCAGCCGCGGUAAUACGUAGGGAGCAAGCGUUAUCCGGAUUUAUUGGGUGUAAAGGGUGCGUAGACGGGAAUUUAAGUUAGUUGUGAAAUCCCUCGGCUCAACUGAGGAACUGCAACUAAAACUGGAUUUCUUGAGUGCUGGAGAGGAAAGCGGAAUUCCUAGUGUAGCGGUGAAAUGCGUAGAUAUUAGGAGGAACACCAGUGGCGAAGGCGGCUUUCUGGACAGUAACUGACGUUGAGGCACGAAAGUGUGGGGAGCAAACAGGAUUAGAUACCCCUGUA
rnacentral:rRNA from 1 species